GAAAUGCGAUAAGUAAUGUGAAUUGCAGAAUUCAGUGAAUCAUCGAAUCUUUGAACGCACCUUGCGCUCCUUGGUAUUCCUUGGAGCAUGCCUGUUUGAGUAUCAUGAAAUCUUCAAAGUAAAUCUUUUGUUAACUCAAUUGGUUUCUACUUUGGUAUUGGAGGUCUUUGCAGCUUCACACCUGCUCCUCUUUGUUCAUUAGCUGGAUCUCAGUGUUAUGCUUGGUUCCACUCGGCGUGAUAAGUUAUCUAUCGCUGAGGACACUGUACAAGGUGGCCAAGGUAAAUGCAGAUGAACCGCUUCUAAUAGUCCAUUGACUUGGACAAUACUUUUAUGAUCUGAUCUCAAAUCAGGUAGGACUACCCGCUGAACUUAAGC
rnacentral:misc_RNA from 1 species